rnacentral:rRNA from 1 species
GAUGAACGCUGGCGGCGUGCCUAAUACAUGCAAGUCGAGCGAACAGAUGAGGAGCUUGCUCCUCUGACGUUAGCGGCGGACGGGUGAGUAACACGUGGAUAACCUACCCAUAAGACUGGGAUAACUUCGGGAAACCGGAGCUAAUACCGGAUAACAUAUUGAACCGCAUGGUUCAAUAGUGAAAGACGGUUUUGCUGUCACUUAUAGAUGGAUCCGCGCCGCAUUAGCUAGUUGGUAAGGUAACGGCUUACCAAGGCAACGAUGCGUAGCCGACCUGAGAGGGUGAUCGGCCACACUGGAACUGAGACACGGUCCAGACUCCUACGGGAGGCAGCAGUAGGGAAUCUUCCGCAAUGGGCGAAAGCCUGACGGAGCAACGCCGCGUGAGUGAUGAAGGUCUUCGGAUCGUAAAACUCUGUUAUUAGGGAAGAACAAAUGUGUAAGUAACUAUGCACAUCUUGACGGUACCUAAUCAGAAAGCCACGGCUAACUACGUG